rnacentral:misc_RNA from 1 species
UAUUAUUGACAAUUGAGAAUUAAAAUAAUUUUGCGAGCUUUGUUUCUUUUCUUUUGAGUGUUCUAUUGGUUCUACAUCAAACCACAUCACAUUGAUAGUUAUACGACAGUGUACUCGAUAAUUUGAGACAAUAAAUGAGCAUCCCAUUUUAAAAAUGGGUGGGAAGAGGAGAGAGAGACAAAGGAAAAUUUUCCAUAAACUAUGAGCAAAACCAUUCUGACAAUUAUCUGUCCAAAGCUUUGAUUUCUAUCAGGCAAAGCCUUUAUAACCUUACCAAAAUAAUUGGGAUCUAAGAAAAAUCACCCUAUUCUACCAGAACAGUUCCUAGAAUCCAAAAUAUAGUUAAUCUUUAAUUCACAA